rnacentral:tRNA from 1 species
CUCCGUGUAGCUCAGUUUGGCCAGAGCGUUUCGUUUGGGGCGAUAGGGUCGGGGGGUUCAAAUCCUCCCACGGAGA